UACGGAGGGUGCAAGCGUUGUUCGGAUUUACUGGGCGUAAAGGGUGUGUAGGCGGCUGCGUAAGUCUGGUGUGAAAUCUUUACCGCUCAACGGAAAGGGGUCACUGGAAACUGCGUAGCUCGAGUAUGGAAGAGGCAGGCGGAAUUCCUGGUGUAGCGGUGGAAUGUGUAGAUAUCAGGAAGAACACCGGUGGCGAAGGCGGCUUGCUGGGCCAUCACUGACGCUGAGACACGAAAGCGUGGGGAGCAAACGGG
rnacentral:rRNA from 1 species